GAAGUGCCCGACAUUCCGCCCGCUGCGCGCGGGGCACGCUGGGACUUGUAGUUUUCCUCGCGUGCCAAGCGGAAUCGGUGGCUUUGCGGAAGCUGGUUAGUUUAAAACGCAACCAAUUCUGACAACUAAAGUUAGUCAUUGGGAAAUUCAAGUAUGAUCCAGCAGCUACUGAUAGUCCAUGUCAGAAUGAAGUUCUUUAGCCAUCACUACCAUGUCAGAUAGACACCAAGGAGGACCAGACACCUGGAAUACCAGCAAUCCCCCUCAUCAGUCCUCUCAGUAUUAUUGCAGGAGAGCACUGGGUCAGCCCUGUGACCUCGUGAUUAAAGGAGCCGGAACC